UACGUAGGUGGCAAGCGUUGUUCGGAAUUAUUGGGCGUAAAGGGCGCGUAGGCGGCCUGUUAAGUCGGCUGUGAAAGCCCGGGGCUCAACCCCGGAAAGUCGGCCGAUACUGGCAAGCUAGAGUACGGAAGAGGUAGCUGGAAUUCCCGGUGUAGCGGUGAAAUGCGUAGAGAUCUGGAGGAACACCGAUGGCGAAGGCAGCCUUCUGGGCCAACACUGACGCUCAUGCACGAAAGCGUGGGGAGCAAACAGG
rnacentral:rRNA from 1 species